rnacentral:rRNA from 1 species
ACUAGAGUAGCACUCGCAUAUCAAUAAGCGGAGGAAAAGAAACUAACAAGGAUUCCCCUAGUAACGGCGAGUGAAGCGGGAAGAGCUCAAAUUUGAAAUCUUAAAGGGUUUCCCUUUACGAAUUGUAGUUUAAAGAAGUGUUUUCUGUUGAGGUUUUGGUAAAAGUUCUUUGGAAUAGGACAUCAUAGAGGGUGAGAAUCCCGUAUUUGACCUUUACUUUCAACUUUGUGAUACACUUUCAAAGAGUCGGAUUGUUUGGGAAUGCAGUCCAAAAUGGGUGGUAAAUUUCAUCUAAAGCUAAAUAUUGGCGAGAGACCGAUAGCGAACAAGUACCGUGAGGGAAAGAUGAAAAGAACUUUGAAAAGAGAGUUAAACAGUACGUGAAAUUGUCAAAAGGGAAGCGUUUGACACCAGUGUUGUUUUUCUGAAAAUCAAUUAAAGAACUGUUUAUGCUAAGCUGUUUAGACUUUAUCAGCUAAUCUGUUUAGUUUUGAGCUUUUCUUUAAUGCACUUUUCAGUUAACAAGUCAACAUCAAUUUCUUUUGCUGUAAAAAAGCUUGAGGAAGGUGGCUUGAGAUUCGUCUUAAGUGUUUAUAGCCUCUUGCCUAUGCAGUCGGAGAGAUUGAGGUCUGCAGCGUAGAUCCUUCGGGGCUAAAUGCAUUUGUGCUAAGUUAUAGCAUUUUAUAGACAACUUGUUGACUAUGAUUUGUCUUGUAGCUUACUCGCUUAUGUUAUUUUACCUACGCUUAGGAUGUUGAGCGCAUGUCUCUCUCU